GCCGAGGUGGCAGAAACUGGUAAUGCACCGGACUUGAGGCGGUUUCGUCCGCUUUCGAUGUGGAAGAUGGCUUGACCCUGAUUUGAUGAUGGACAAGGAGGUGAACCGAAGGAAAUCCGGCGGGCUUUGCCCUUUAGGGUUCAAAUCCCUACCUCGGCG
rnacentral:tRNA from 1 species